UCCGGGGAGGAAAGUGUUGAGGUUAAUAACCUCUCCAAUUGACAUUACCCCCAGAAAAAACACCCCCUAUCUCCCUGCCCCCACCCCCGGUAAUACGGAGGGGGCAAGCGUUAAUCGGAAUUACUGGGCGUAAAGCGCACGCAGGCGGUCUGUCAAGUCGGAUGUGAAAUCCCCGGGCUCAACCUGGGAACUGCAUUCGAAACUGUCAGGCUAGAGUCUUGUAGAGGGGGGUAGAAUUCCAGGUGUAGCGGUGAAAUGCGUAGAGAUCUGGAGGAAUACCGGUGGCGAAGGCGGCCCCCUGGACAAAGACUGACGCUCAGGUGCGAAAGCGUGGGGAGCAAACAGGAUUAGAUACCCUGGUAGUCCACGCCGUAAACGAUGUCGACUUGGAGGUUGUGCCCUUGAGGCGUGGCUUCCGGAGCUAACGCGUUAAGUCGACCGCCUGGGGAGUACGGCCGCAAGGUUAAAACUCAAAUGAAUUGACGGGGGCCCGCACAAGCGGUGGAGCAUGUGGUUUA
rnacentral:rRNA from 1 species